UACGGGGGGGGCAAGCGUUGUUCGGAAUUACUGGGCGUAAAGGGCUCGUAGGCGGCCAACUAAGUCGGACGUGAAUCCCUCGGCUUAACCGGGGAACUGCGUCCGAUACUGGAUGGCUGGAGGUUGGGAGAGGGAUGCGGAAUUCCAGGUGUAGCGGUGAAAUGCGUAGAUAUCUGGAGGAACACCGGUGGCGAAGGCGGCAUCCUGGACCAAUUCUGACGCUGAGGAGCGAAAGCCAGGGGAGCAAACGGG
rnacentral:rRNA from 1 species